UGUCCUCAAUUUCAAUAGCCAUGUCAUAUUUGUUUUGUGAAGUUGAUUGUAGAGAGAACAUCUGGCAAAAUCACAUCGCAAAUAUAGUCUAGGGGAUAAUUAUAAACUUUAGCAGAGUUUAUUUUAAAACAUUGUAUGAUAUUAUGUUGUUGUGUUUGUCGUUAUCUUUUUUCUGCCAUCGACUUUUUUAAUUCAGUAGUUUUUAUGAAAUCUGCACUUGAAACAUAAAAAGCUAGAAAUAUUUUAAUUCUUAUAAGAAAAACUAAUAAAAAAUCAGAAAUCAGAAUAGUCCUAUAGUAAAACCAAAAUAUAUCAAAUUUUAAUGCAGUUAUACGUUCACUUUCCAAAAGCUAUGAUAUACAUUAAUUAAUAAUAGAACCGAUAGUAAACAUGAAAAUAACUUAGAUAUCUUUUAUAAAUCUUAUAUGUUUUCAUAGUGUUACAUAACCAAUUGGACAUAAUCUAUUAUCUCUUAUCUUUUUUUUACAACAAUCUAAUAUUUCUUAUCAUAUUGCCCCUAUUAAUUACAUUUACCAGACUUACUCAUGGCCCAUUUUAUUAUAAUCCAUAUUUACUUUGUCCAUUAUUUAUACGAUGUGUCAAAUAGACUAAUAUAAAUCCCACAUGGAUUUAUAUGUAACUGAAAUAAUAAACCAAUAAACUUAAGUCUUCUGAUAUAACAUAUUUUAUAUGUAGUUCAUAUUUCUAUUGCUUUUUAGCUAAUAACGAACAGUCGCUAAAUAUUAAUGUAAAUGGAAGUUUCUUAAGCAGAUAAGAUAAUCGUCCAACAAAAUAUUAUUUAUAGUAUUAUAGUCUAUUCCUUAAUAUAUAUCACUAAUAAUAAAACUUUACAAACCCAUGUAAAUAAUCAACUUGAAAAAAUAUUAAAUAAAAAUGGUUGUUUAAAUAUGUUAUUUAUGUAUAUUUUAUAUAACUAUAUGCCAAUGCGAAUCUACUAAGACAAAUUAUAAACACUAAUCUAAUUGACAGUUAGAUAAAUAAAUAAAAUUACUCAUAUAAAUAAAAAAAUUGGUGUAUAAAUGUUAUAUUGAACAAAUAUUUAAUACCAAUAAAUGUAGAAAAUAUACUCUAACAAAAACUAUAGAAAAAUAUUGAUAUAUAUAAUUAUAAGAACAAACAUCCGUACAGGUAUGCGGGUCAAACUCUAGUUCGCUUUUUAAAUUUCUUCGAAUAUACUAUAACAAUUUUUUUUUGCAUUAAUGGUUCUAAUAAUUAAUUGGUUCUUCUAUAUAUAUAUAUAUUUAUUUUUUCGACACCAUUGGUUCUAUAUAAACAUCAGCCUAUAUAUGCAUUUCAUCCCAAUCAUUAGCCUAUAUCAUAUUUGAUCGUUUUACAUAUUAUUCCAUGUAAUUUAGUUUUAAUAUUUAUAGUUUUACAUAUUAUUCCAUGUAAUUUAGUUUUAAUAUUUAUAGUUUUAUAUUGUAAAUUUAGAAAAUAUUAUUAAAGAAAGAUAUUUUUUUGUAAAUAUAAUAUUAAUCUCACUCUGCGCAAGUCUCUACCUAGUAUAUACAAAUAAAGAAGGUUAAUAGGUGUGACUUUUUGUUCGCAUGGAAGGUCCACUUUUCUGUCACAAUGUUAGAUGUCCAAUUUGUCUAAAAACUAAAAAAAAAAUCAAAAAACUAUAUGUAUAUCUUUAAUUAAAAUUUAUAUAUAUAUAUAUAUGUCUAAUAAGUCUAAAACUUUAGGUGAGGAUGCAACAAUUGUGUUUUGUCAGACAUAAUUGAUACUCUAUCUGUUUCAUAAUAAGUGUCACUUUAAGUUUUUAAUUUUGUUUUAAAGUAAGUGUCAUUUUACGAUUUCAAUGUAAACUUGUAUAUUAAAUCUAUUUUUUACCCUUUUUAAUAACCAAUCACAGGGUUAAGAAUUCAUUCAAACCAGUCAAUUAACCAAUCUAAACAUAUUUUAGGUACAUAUGCAACAAUUGUGUUUGUCGGACAUAGUUAAUACUCCCUCUAUUUUCAAAUAAGUGUCACUUUAAGUUUUUGAUUUUGUUUCAAAAUAAGUAUCUUUCUACAAUUUCAAAUGCAAAUUUGUAUAUUAAAUCUACUUUUUACCCUUUUGAAUAACCAAUGGAUUUUUAUUUAAAUCAUUGUCAUUUAAUUAAUCAUACAUUAAAUAGAAUUAUAUUAGUCUAUUAUAUAAUUUUUUCAAUUUCCAUGAAAAAUGUACAUUUAUAAUGAAACUGAGGGAGUAUUAAGAUGAUAGAAGAAAAGAAGAAAAUUUACUUAUUUAAAUGAAAUAGAAAAAUAAAAAAUGAUAAUUUAAGUGAAAUAUAAUCAAAUUAUAAGAAAAAUAUGAGCAAAUGAUAAGAGAAUAUGAUCUGGGAAAUGUAAAAAUACUAUCCCAUUCUAAGUAACUAUACUACGAUUUGUAUAUAAUUAAGAGUAUUCUAUAAUUAACUUGGUUUUGACUAGUAUUUAUGAGUUCAUAUUAUAUGAUUUUCCAGUUAGUGAUUACAUGUGUAUUAUGUACAACUAAUAACGACCACACAUUAUAGAGAGAUGAAUCAGCUAUGAAACUCGAUGGCGUUAGUAAAGAUCAAAAUGUUAGUCAUAAUAACAACCGGAAAAAAUCAUAAUAACCGGGAAAAAAUCAUAAUACCUUGAGAAA